CGUGGUCAAAGCGACGUGGACCAUAUCACCCGGGGUUGUGCUGGAAUCUGACCAUCCUUUCUACAGCGGACGGCUCAAUGUGUCCUUCCAGGAUCUGCUCCAGAAAGGGGAGGUCACGCUGACCCUGUCGGAGCUGGAGAAGCGGGACUCUGGUCUCUAUCAGUGUCAGAUCAGCAUCCACCAGGGAGAGAGCGGGACAGGAGCGGGCACCGAGCUGCAGGUGACGGGGAGAAACCAGAGUGACACAGGUAAAGAAUCUGCCCACGUAGGGUGCUGCGCCCGGGAGCUCCUGUACCAGGUCGCCAUCGCCCUGGGGCUCCUUCUCAUCCUCGGCCUGGCGGCCACCCUCCUCCUGAAGAGACACCGAGGGUCACGGCAGCCGGGGGGCCGAGGAGAGCGAGAGCCUGCACUACGCAGAGAUUAAAUUCCAGACUCCAGGACGCAGGGAACACACC